rnacentral:rRNA from 1 species
AUUGAACGCUGGCGGCAUGCCUUACACAUGCAAGUCGAACGGCAGCAUGGAAGAGCUUGCUCUUCUGAUGGCGAGUGGCGAACGGGUGAGUAAAGCAUCGGAACGUACCGUGUAGUGGGGAUAACGUAGCGAAAGUUACGCUAAUACCGCAUACGCACUGAGGUGGAAAAGCAGGGGAUCGCAAGACCUUGCGCUAUACGAGCGGCCGAUGUCAGAUUAGCUAGUUGGUAGGGUAAAGGCCUACCAAGGCGACGAUCUGUAGCGGGUCUGAGAGGAUGAUCCGCCACACUGGGACUGAGACACGGCCCAGACUCCUACGGGAGGCAGCAGUGGGGAAUUUUGGACAAUGGCGAAAGACCUGAUCCAGCCAUGCCGCGUGAGUGAAGAAGGACCU